rnacentral:tRNA from 1 species
AGCAAGAUGCCUGAAAAAGGAUUAUUUUGAUAGAAUAAAUCAUGUGAAAAGCCUCACUCUUGUUA